AGAUGGCGACCGGCGCACGGGUGAGUAACACGUAUCCAACCUGCCGAUAACUCGGGGAUAGCCUUUCGAAAGAAAGAUUAAUACCCGAUGGUAUAAUCAGACCGCAUGGUCUUGUUAUUAAAGAAUUUCGGUUAUCGAUGGGGAUGCGUCCCAUUAGGCAGUUGGUGAGGUAACGGCUCACCAAACCUUCGAUGGAUAGGGGUUCUGAGAGGAAGGUCCCCCACAUUGGAACUGAGACACGGUCCAA
rnacentral:rRNA from 1 species